CAAUGGCUGCCACUGGAUUUA
rnacentral:siRNA from 1 species